AUUGAACGCUGGCGGAAUGCUUUACACAUGCAAGUCGAGCGGCAGCACGGGGGCAACCCUGGUGGCGAGCGGCGAACGGGCGAGUAAUACAUCGGAACAUGCCCAGUCGUGGGGGAUAACACUUCGAAAGAAGUGCUAAUACCGCAUACGUCCUGAGGGAGAAAGCGGGGGAUCUUCGGACCUCGCGCGAUUGGAGUGGCCGAUGUCAGAUUAGCUAGUUGGUGGGGUAAAGGCCUACCAAGGCAACGAUCUGUAGUUGGCCUGAGAGGAUGAUCAGCCACACUGGGACUGAGACACGGCCCAGACUCCUACGGGAGGCAGCAGUGGGGAAUUUUGGACAAUGGGGGCAACCCUGAUCCAGCCAUUCCGCGUGAGUGAAGAAGGCCUUCGGGUUGUAAAGCUCUUUCGGCAGGAACGAAACGGCGAGCUCUAACAUAGCUUGCUAAUGACGGUACCUGAAGAAGAAGCACCGGCUAACUACGUGCCAGCCGCCGCAGUAAUAC
rnacentral:rRNA from 1 species